GCUUGCGCAGGACACUCUGCCUGCGCUGCCCCACUGCCCAGCGCGGGUGGGACUAGCGGCCGGCAGCGCGCCGGGCUGCGCCGGGCUCUCGUAAGGAAGUCUUUGGAGAAGAGCAGCAGGUGUCUCUCGACAUGACAAGUAACUCUGGCCACGCGAGCAGCCUGCCCAGGUCCGUGGUGGAUAUGCCAAGCAGUGAAGAAGGAGUGAAGGAGAAGGAGCAGGGCUAAAUUCCUCAAGAAUCAGGUUGAGGAGUUUUUGAAAAACAAUGGCCAUAUUCAGCCAAUGCACAAUCCAGCCUGCUGGCAACAAUUGGAUAAUGGACAAUGAAUAAUGGACAUAUUCAGAAACAGGUAUAUCCUUGAGAAAGAUACAAGAAGAAGAGCCAUCAAGACUCAGCAAGUUUGUCAGCAAGUUUGAGAAAAUGAGAAAAAAGAAGCAAAGGGUGUGGCCAGACAACCACAGUAAAGUGCGUAAAAAAUCAGACAAUCCAAUCAGCCUUCUAAUUUAGCUAGGAUUAACCAAUCAUGUAUUAGCUACAGAGGCACGUGAACAGUAGAAACUUAUUAUAAAUAUAGCCUUUUUGGAGUAAUAAAUUGGGCUUCACUUGAUCACAUUGA